AAAGUGAAUCAAAGUUCUCUUAAAAUCUGCUUCUUAGGAAUUGGGCAGCCACUUCGGACCAGACUUCUCCAUACGAUAGAUGGAUGUACUAGGGUCCCAGUUUUCUGCAGCUCGGAGCUGAUGGUACUGCUGGACAUCUUCUAAUUGCAGGGCAAAGCUUGGACAGCACAUCUGAAGCAGCGCAUCCGUCUUGUGUCUUGUUGCUGCAUCUUGCCGUGGUAUAUGUUUUUUUUAGCUGAGUUUGGCUGUUCCUCACCCAGUUCUGUUAAUGUUAAUAUUACUGUAUAUAUUGUGUGUAUUAAAAAUUUUAUUUUGA